rnacentral:misc_RNA from 1 species
UCUCGGCUUAUCACCGGCAGUCCCCCUAGAGUGCCCAACUGAAUGAUGGCAACUAGGGGCGAGGGUUGCGCUCGUUGCGGGACUUAACCCAACAUGUCACCACACGAGCUGACGACAGCCAUGCAGCACCUGUCACUCUGUCCGGUUGCCCGGAAAGCUGUAUCUCUACAGCGGUCAGAGGAUGUCAAACCCAGGUAAGGUUCUUCGCGUUGCUUCGAAUUAAACCACAUGAUCCACCGCUUGUGCGGGCCCCCGUCAAUUCCUUUGAGUUUUAGUCUUGCGACCGUACUUCCCAGGCGGGGCACUUAUCGCGUUAGCUCAGACUCGGCGGGGGUCAAGACCCACCAAAUCGAGUGCCCAUCGUUUACAGCGUGGACUAC